UACGGGGGGGGGGCAAGCGUUGUUCGGAAUUACUGGGCGUAAAGGGCUCGUAGGCGGCCAACUAAGUCAGACGUGAAAUCCCUCAGCUUAACUGGGGAACUGCGUCUGAUACUGGAUGGCUUGGAUUUGGGAGAGGGAUGCGGAAUUCCAGGUGUAGCGGUGAAAUGCGUAGAUAUCUGGAGGAACACCGGUGGCGAAGGCGGCAUCCUGGACCAAUAUUGACGCUGAGGAGCGAAAAGCCAGGGGAGCAAACGGG
rnacentral:rRNA from 1 species